UCCGAAUUGGUGUAGUGGCUAACAUUUGACGCUCUCAAGAUCAUUGAUCCGUCAAGCCCGGGGUUCGAUUCCCCGAUUCGGAG
rnacentral:tRNA from 1 species